rnacentral:rRNA from 1 species
UACGUAGGCAGCGAGCGUUGUUCGGAGUUACUGGGCGUAAAGAGUGCGUAGGCGGUUUUCUAAGUUUGGUGUGAAAUCUCCCGGCUCAACUGGGAGGGUGCGCCGAAGACUGGAAGGCUUGAGUAUGGGAGAGGUAAGCGGAAUUCCUGGUGUAGCGGUGAAAUGCGCAGAUAUCAGGAGGAACACCGGUGGCGAAGGCGGGUCUCUGGGCCGAAAUUGACGCUGAGGAGCGAAAGCGUGGGGAGCAAACAGG